rnacentral:rRNA from 1 species
UACGGGGGGGGCAAGCGUUGUUCGGAGUUACUGGGCGUAAAGGGCUCGUAGGUGGCCAACUAAGUCAGACGUGAAAUCCCUCGGCUUAACCGGGGAACUGCGUCUGAUACUGGAUGGCUUGAGUUUGGGAGAGGGACGCGGAAUUCCAGGUGUAGCGGUGAAAUGCGUAGAUAUCUGGAGGAACACCGGUGGCGAAGGCGGUUCUCUGGGCAUUACCUGACGCUGAGGAGCGAAAGUGUGGGGAGCGAACAGG